rnacentral:misc_RNA from 1 species
GUGAAUCAUCGAAUUUUUGAACGCAAAUUGCACUCUCCGGUUUUCCGGGAGAGUAUGCCUGUUUGAGGGUCAGCCUAAAAAAAAUCGACAUCGUUGCUGUUUCGCGGUUGCGUUCGUCGGAAAUUGGGUUAUCUUAAAUCCUUUUGGGGUUUAAGCGACUUAAAAUUUUCUUUUUGGUUCCAUGAACGUUUCUAAGAUUUAUUUCUUUACACGUUUAAGGUAUCGAUCUUUAUUAGACGUGGCCGUUGCAUCGUAUCACGUCCAUAAAUAUUUCUUUAACUGACCUCAUACAUGUAAUCAA